rnacentral:rRNA from 1 species
GAUGAACGCUGGCGGCGUGCCUAAUACAUGCAAGUCGAGCGGUAAGGCCCUUCGGGGUACACGAGCGGCGGACGGCUGAGUAACACGUAGGAACCUACCCCAAACUGAGGGAUAAGCACCAGAAAUGGUGUCUAAUACCGCAUGUGCUCUACGGAGUAAAGCUUCGGCGGUUUGGGAAGGGCCUGCGUCCGAUUAGCUAGUUGGUGGUAUAAAAGACUACCAAGGCGACGAUCGGUAGCUGGUCUGAGAGGAUGAUCAGCCAGACUGGGACUGAGACACGGCCCAGACUCCUACGGGAGGCAGCAGUAGGGAAUUUCCCACAAUGGGCGAAAGCCUGAUGGAGCAACGCCGCGUGCAGGAUGAAUGCCUCCGGGUUGUAAACUGCUUUUAUCUGUGACGAAUAUGACGGUAGCAGAUGAAUAAGGACCUGCUAACUACGUGCCAGCAGCCGCAGUAA